rnacentral:rRNA from 1 species
UACGUAGGUGGCAAGCGUUGUUCGGAAUUACUGGGCGUAAAGGGCGCGUAGGCGGCCCUCUAAGUCAGACGUGAAAUCCCUCGGCUCAACCGGGGAACUGCGUCUGAGACUGGAAGGCUUGAAUUCGGGAGAGGGAUGUGGAAUUCCAGGUGUAGCGGUGAAAUGCGUAGAUAUCUGGAGGAACACCGGUGGCGAAGGCGGCAUCCUGGACCGAGAUUGACGCUGAUGCGCGAAAGCCAGGGGAGCAAACGGG